GAUGAAGAACGUAGCGAAAUGCGAUAAGUGAUGCGAAACGCAACUUUUGUGAGUCAUCGAAUCUUUGAACGCAGAUUGCGCCCUUUGGUAUUCCUUAGGGCAUGCCUGUUCGAGCGUCAUUUGAAACCUCAAGCUCAGCUUGGUGUUGGGUGUCUGUCCCCGCCUCACCGCGGGGACUCGCCUCAAAAUCAUUGGCGGCCGGUACGUUGGCUUCGAGCGCAGCAGAAACGCGAACUCGAGGCCCGGCGGAUCGGCGACCAGAAGUCACUUCUUCACAGUUUGACCUCGGAUCAGGUAGGGAUACCCGCUGAACUUAAGCAUAUCAAUAAGCGGAGGA
rnacentral:misc_RNA from 1 species